GAUGAACGCUGGCGGCGUGCCUAGUACAUGCAAGUCGAGCGGACAGACGAGGAGCUUGCUCCUCUGACGUUAGCGGCGGACGGGUGAGUAACACGUGGAUAACCUACCUAUAAGACUGGGAUAACUUCGGGAAACCGGAGCUAAUACCGGAUAAUAUAUUGAACCGCAUGGUUCAAUAGUGAAAGACGGUUUUGCUGUCACUUAUAGAUGGAUCCGCGCCGCAUUAGCUAGUUGGUAAGGUAACGGCUUACCAAGGCAACGAUGCGUAGCCGACCUGAGAGGGUGAUCGGCCACACUGGAACUGAGACACGGUCCAGACUCCUACGGGAGGCAGCAGUAGGGAAUCUUCCGCAAUGGGCGAAAGCCUGACGGAGCAACGCCGCGUGAGUGAUGAAGGUCUUCGGAUCGUAAAACUCUGUUAUUAGGGAAGAACAAAUGUGUAAGUAACUAUGCACGUCUUGACGGUACCUAAUCAGAAAGCCACGGCUAACUACGUG
rnacentral:rRNA from 1 species